GACAGAGGGUGCUAGCGUUGUUCGGAAUUACUGGGCGUAAAGGGCGCGUAGGCGGUCCGCUAAGUUCGGCGUGAAAUCCCCUGGCUCAACUGGGGAACUGCGUUGGAUACUGGUGGACUCGAGUACCGGAGAGGAGAGUGGAAUUCCUGGUGUAGCGGUGAAAUGCGCAGAUAUCAGGAAGAACACCUAUGGCGAAGGCAGCUCUCUGGGACGGUACUGACGCUGAGACGCGAAAGCGUGGGGAGCGAACAGG
rnacentral:rRNA from 1 species